rnacentral:rRNA from 1 species
UACGAAGGGGGCUAGCGUUGCUCGGAAUCACUGGGCGUAAAGCGCACGUAGGCGGCUUGUUAAGUCAGGGGUGAAAGCCUGGGGCUCAACUCCAGAACUGCCUUUAAAACUGCAUCGCUUGAAUCCAGGAGAGGUGAGUGGAAUUCCGAGUGUAGAGGUGAAAUUCGUAGAUAUUCGGAAGAACACCAGUGGCGAAGGCGGCUCACUGGACUGGUAUUGACGCUGAGGUGCGAAAGCGUGGGGAGCAAACAGG